UUGCCUCAGUUCGGAUUGUUCUCUGCAACUCGGGAACAUGAAGUUGAAAUCGCUAGUAAUCGCGUAUCAGCAUGCCGCGGUGAAUAUGUACCCGGGCCCUGUACACACCGCCCGUCACACCCUGGGAAUUGGUUUCGCCCGAAGCAUCGGACCAAUGAUCACCCAUGACUUCUGUGUACCACUAGUGCCACAAAGGCCUUUGGUGGUCUUAUUGGC
rnacentral:ncRNA from 1 species